UUUACCUUGAUGUAGAAGUCAGUAGGGGAACAACCGCAGGGAGACCUUCGAGCCUCUGGAGUAUACACAGCACAGCCUCCACGGGGUGCCCAUCUCCCCCUUCAGUCCAUCUCUCCCUAUGCUCUCACACCCCAGUCGAUUUCCAGCACGGGCCUCAAUCAAUUUCACUCCCUUGACCACACUAC